CCUGGAGUUGCUUAUGCAAGCCCACCAUACAGAAAUUAAGAGUAAUCUCAGCAUGGAAGAAAAGCCUCAAAUUAACCUGGUUAAUAAAGCCAGCCACAACAUUUCAACAGAGAUGGGAGUGGCAGCAUUGUUUGACAAUCUAAGAUAGAUAGUCUGGUUUUCCUAAUUCAAGUCUUUCAGUCUGGCUCCUCCGGAAACCUGUUCUGUCUCACACUCAAGAAAGAAGAAAAACCCACAACUCAAACCAACAUGAAGGAUCCGCUUCCUUCAGACUUUCCAUGUAAUCAAAGUCAUAAGCUGAAAGCCACAGAGCAGAAGACUGACUGCUAUGAAGUAAUUACUCACUGGCUCAAGUCACAAGACGGUGUAAGUUCUUGUGCAGCAGUGUUUGCCCCCUUCAUUUAGUGAUUAACACAGGAUUAAAGAAGAUGCAAUAUCAAAAGCUACUUUUCUUUUUGAAAAAUGCAUUUCUUGUCCUACAUAAUAAAACAGUAUUCUGCUCUCCUCUGUCAGAAAGAUAAGACAGCAGAAAGCACUACUAGAACCACACGAACUGAAGUUCUGCAGUGAGAGAAACAGCAACUGUGAUGCCAGCAUAGAAGCACUCCCUCCCAGCUUGGCCUUUUGCCUGACCACCAGCCAAACCCAAUGUACUCUGCAGCUGUCACAGUGACCCUCUGGGACACAGAACACAGUCUAGGGGUUAAUCCCAACUCGCCCUUGUAACCAUCUCUAUGGUGUUUGUAAUUUAAC